UGAGGGAUGGUCUAAUGGUAAGACAGCGGACUCUGACUCCGCUUAUCGGGGUUCGAAUCCCUGUCCCUCAGCCA
rnacentral:tRNA from 1 species